CACAAAACCCUGCCACCAUUACUCUCUUCCCUUGCUCCAGAAGAUUCUGACCUGCCCCCUGUAUGGGAGCUUCUCCAUUAUGAGGACUCUCCAAAGCUGUCUGAAAGAAGAUUUUCCUUACCUUCCCUUGGAACAUCAACCAACAACCCAACCCUUCUCCAAAGAUAUGUGCUUCAGAGUUGCCAGUCUGAAGUCAUCAGACCUCAGAAAAAGUCAGUUUAAAAAAAAAGAAGUACUGUUAAGAGCCACCAAUAAACAUCUUAAAAAUAUUACAAUUGGGGCAUCAGUUUGAAGAUUAGCAAGGAUGACUCUGCAAGUUUCUUCUGUGCUUCAGCAUCAUUUCAUACAGUUUCAUUUUACCAAUAUGCUGAGAUCUCCUGGCAUCUUUUUCAUCAUUGUAUCCCUUGUUGUUGCCUGGCACAUAGUAGCCCUCAAUAAAUAUUUGUGGAGUGAAUAAUUCUUAAUAUUCUUCCUGAAAAUU